rnacentral:ncRNA from 1 species
AAAAACCCUAUGCAGGGGUAGAGUAACCAGCAAUGUCUUUCACAGAGAGUCGGUGGCAGGUGGAAACCGGCAGGGCGGCUGGCGAACGAGCUCUCCGAAGGGGGCCCGCUGAAAGCAGAAGUAGGUGGGCACGGGUUGAUCCCCGUUAUAACGAUGAGUGGGUUAGGGCUGUUUUUUGCCCUUACCAAAAAGGGUGGCACCGCGGGAAUAAUACCUCUCGUCCCUGUU